GGGUAUACAGCUCAGUGGAAAAGCACAUGCUUGCCAUGCACGAGGGUCCUGGGUUCAAUCCCCAGUAACUCCA
rnacentral:tRNA from 1 species